CGGGCUGUAGCGCAGUUGGUAGCGCGCGUCGUUCGGGACGACGAGGUCGUGGGUUCGAGCCCCGCCAGCCCGA
rnacentral:tRNA from 1 species